GGGCGCUCUUGACUUGUCAGUUUGGCGCUCUCUUUUGAACACUUGGAUUGUGUCUAACUGAUAAACAAAAGCCCCGAAUGAUGAUUAAUCAAACGAGGCCAAUGUUAUGAUCGACAAAUCUAUACUAGCCUCAUUACUCAUAGGAGGCAAGGAAAGAUGCCAAAAAG
rnacentral:antisense_RNA from 1 species